AGCGUACACGGUGGAUGCCCUGGCAGUCAGAGGCGAUGAAGGACGUGCUAAUCUGCGAAAAGCGCCGGCGAGGUGAUAUGAACCUUUGACCCGGCGAUGUCCGAAUGGGGAAACCCAGUGCAAUUCGUUGCACUAUCGUUAACUGAAUACAUAGGUUAACGAGGCGAACCGGGGGAACUGAAACAUCUAAGUACCCCGAGGAAAAGAAAUCAACCGAGAUUCCCCCAGUAGCGGCGAGCGAACGGGGAGCAGCCCAGAGUCUGAAUCAGCUUGUGUGUUAGUGGAAGCGUCUGGAAAGUCGCACGGUACAGGGUGACAGUCCCGUACACGAAAGCACACAGGUUGUGAACUCGAAGAGUAGGGCGGGACACGUGGUAUCCUGUCUGAAUAUGGGGGGACCAUCCUCCAAGGCUAAAUACUCCUGACUGACCGAUAGUGAACCAGUACCGUGAGGGAAAGGCGAAAAGAACCCCGGCGAGGGGAGUGAAAAAGAACCUGAAACCGUGUACGUACAAGCAGUGGGAGCACCUUCGUGGUGUGACUGCGUACCUUUUGUAUAAUGGGUCAGCGACUUAUAUUCUGUAGCAAGGUUAACCGUAUAGGGGAGCCGAAGGGAAACCGAGUCUUAACUGGGCGUUAAGUUGCAGGGUAUAGACCCGAAACCCGGUGAUCUAGCCAUGGGCAGGUUGAAGGUUGGGUAACACUAACUGGAGGACCGAACCGACUAAUGUUGAAAAAUUAGCGGAUGACUUGUGGCUGGGGGUGAAAGGCCAAUCAAACCGGGAGAUAGCUGGUUCUCCCCGAAAGCUAUUUAGGUAGCGCCUCGUGAACUCAUCUUCGGGGGUAGAGCACUGUUUCGGCUAGGGGGCCAUCCCGGCUUACCAACCCGAUGCAAACUACGAAUACCGAAGAAUGUUAUCACGGGAGACACACGGCGGGUGCUAACGUCCGUCGUGAAGAGGGAAACAACCCAGACCGCCAGCUAAGGUCCCAAAGUCAUGGUUAAGUGGGAAACGAUGUGGGAAGGCACAGACAGCCAGGAUGUUGGCUUAGAAGCAGCCAUCAUUUAAAGAAAGCGUAAUAGCUCACUGGUCGAGUCGGCCUGCGCGGAAGAUGUAACGGGGCUAAACCAUGCACCGAAGCUGCGGCAGCGACGCGUAUGCGUUGUUGGGUAGGGGAGCGUUCUGUAAGCCGUUGAAGGUGUGCUGUGAGGCAUGCUGGAGGUAUCAGAAGUGCGAAUGCUGACAUAAGUAACGAUAAAGCGGGUGAAAAGCCCGCUCGCCGGAAGACCAAGGGUUCCUGUCCAACGUUAAUCGGGGCAGGGUGAGUCGACCCCUAAGGCGAGGCCGAAAGGCGUAGUCGAUGGGAAACAGGUUAAUAUUCCUGUACUUGGUGUUACUGCGAAGGGGGGACGGAGAAGGCUAUGUUAGCCGGGCGACGGUUGUCCCGGUUUAAGCAUGUAGGCGGAGGUUCCAGGUAAAUCCGGUACCUUUUAACGCUGAGGUGUGAUGACGAGGCACUACGGUGCUGAAGUAACAAAUGCCCUGCUUCCAGGAAAAGCCUCUAAGCAUCAGGUAACACGAAAUCGUACCCCAAACCGACACAGGUGGUCAGGUAGAGAAUACCAAGGCGCUUGAGAGAACUCGGGUGAAGGAACUAGGCAAAAUGGUGCCGUAACUUCGGGAGAAGGCACGCUGAUAUGUAGGUGAAGCCCCUGCGGGUGGAGCUGAAAUCAGUCGAAGAUACCAGCUGGCUGCAACUGUUUAUUAAAAACACAGCACUGUGCAAACACGAAAGUGGACGUAUACGGUGUGACGCCUGCCCGGUGCCGGAAGGUUAAUUGAUGGGGUUAGCGGCAACGCGAAGCUCUUGAUCGAAGCCCCGGUAAACGGCGGCCGUAACUAUAACGGUCCUAAGGUAGCGAAAUUCCUUGUCGGGUAAGUUCCGACCUGCACGAAUGGCGUAAUGAUGGCCAGGCUGUCUCCACCCGAGACUCAGUGAAAUUGAACUCGCUGUGAAGAUGCAGUGUACCCGCGGCAAGACGGAAAGACCCCGUGAACCUUUACUAUAGCUUGACACUGAACACUGGUCCUUGAUGUGUAGGAUAGGUGGGAGGCUUUGAAGCGUGGACGCCAGUCUGCGUGGAGCCGUCCUUGAAAUACCACCCUUUAAUGGCUGGUGUUCUAACGUAGACCCGUAAUCCGGGUUGCGGACAGUGUCUGGUGGGUAGUUUGACUGGGGCGGUCUCCUCCCAAAGAGUAACGGAGGAGCACGAAGGUUAGCUAAUCCUGGUCGGACAUCAGGAGGUUAGUGCAAUGGCAUAAGCUAGCUUGACUGCGAGAGUGACGGCUCGAGCAGGUGCGAAAGCAGGUCAUAGUGAUCCGGUGGUUCUGAAUGGAAGGGCCAUCGCUCAACGGAUAAAAGGUACUCCGGGGAUAACAGGCUGAUACCGCCCAAGAGUUCAUAUCGACGGCGGUGUUUGGCACCUCGAUGUCGGCUCAUCACAUCCUGGGGCUGAAGUAGGUCCCAAGGGUAUGGCUGUUCGCCAUUUAAAGUGGUACGCGAGCUGGGUUUAGAACGUCGUGAGACAGUUCGGUCCCUAUCUGCCGUGGGCGCUGGAGAAUUGAGGGGGGCUGCUCCUAGUACGAGAGGACCGGAGUGGACGCAUCACUGGUGUUCGGGUUGUCAUGCCAAUGGCACUGCCCGGUAGCUAAAUGCGGAAAAGAUAAGUGCUGAAAGCAUCUAAGCACGAAACUUGCCCCGAGAUGAGUUCU
rnacentral:rRNA from 1 species